CGCGUAGAAAACGUUAGAAACGGCAGGUUGAUUGGGAGUGCAGACUGUCACUACCCCAGAGAAAGGCUUCUUGCAUGUUGGUUCCCCAGCAGAGGCAUCGCUUAAAGAUUGUCAAGAUAUGAUGGGUGAUCUGGCCUCAAUUGGCCAAGCACAAGCCCACAAGGAUGCAAUGCGUUGGCUGUAAGGACCUACAAGAACAUGCGGGUCUGGGUAGGAGGCAUACGAGAGGACAAUGCUUUAAUUUGGCUCAAGGAUGGUGAUCGUAAAACCGACAACUGGCUGAAGGGCCAGCCAGACUUUUCAGGUGGCAAAGAAUUCUGUGUGGACUUGUGGGGAAUGGGCGUAGAAAACGACAAUCGCUGCGAGUUCAAGAAGCCAUUCGUCUGUGAAUAUAACUUAGUGUGAGCUCAUAAAUGUUGUAGUGUGUAUGUAUCAGUGCUCAGAAGUGGUAGCAUCCUUUCUGUAUGUUGACAACCAUUGGCUUUACAAAUGAACAACAAAUUAACUGGUUUGAUCGCUUGUUUAGCCUUAUAAAUC
ensembl:lncRNA